rnacentral:rRNA from 1 species
UACAGAGGUCCCGAGCGUUGUUCGGAUUCACUGGGCGUAAAGGGUGCGCAGGUGGGUUUGCAAGUUCGAUGUGAAAGCCCCGGGCUUAACCCGGGAAUGGCAUUGGAUACUGCAGAUCUGGAGGAUCGGAGGGGGAGCUGGAAUUCUUGGUGUAGCAGUGAAAUGCGUAGAUAUCAAGAGGAACACCAGUGGCGAAGGCGAGUCCCUGGACGAUACCUGACACUGAGGCACGAAAGCUAGGGGAGCAAACAGG